AGAUGAGCACGUGUGCGUGGGGGCUGGUCCCAGGAGUCCCCUGCAGAUCCAGAUGUCCUGGCUCCACACUCUGCAGCCCUGACGAGGGCAAGAGGGCGGCCCAGGCCUGCACCCCUCAGUCCUCGAGGGAUGAGGUGCCUGCACUCUCUCAGGGACCCCAUUUUGAAAGCACUUUAAGGCCAGAUCCCCAGGUCUCGGGAGCUUCUGAGCGGGCUCCUGAGCACCCGGGGAAGCUUCCUCUUGCCCUGGCCUCUGAGGGCCGGCAACACAGAAAACAGAAAACCCCUGAAUUUCAAGGUUUACACAGCCAGCAUCCCAUAAAUGUCACCUGCCACCCUCCCCAGCACACACUUGGAGGGCGGAGGUUACAGUGGAACACGACAUCACUUCUUCCGGAGGCUCCAGUGGAUUCGUCAAGAUGGUGAAAUGGGGUCCCACAGUGAUGUGACAGCUGCCCAAGCCAGUUCAGACUUGAACCCUUGACUUCUAGGCUGAUGCUGGAGAGGUUUGGAGGGCCCUCUGGAUGGAGCUGCUCCUCAGGGGAGACCAAUCAAUCCCUGAGCUCACCGAAUUCACAGCAUUUGAACUCAGCUUACAGGGAGCCCUCCAGAGUGAUGGCUGACAGUAAUCAGUCCAAUGGGGGAGCCAAGGUACCAAUAUACUCAGGAUAUAGAUACAGGUAAAGACAGCAGAGUAUAGACGAAGUGAAUAUUGAAGGGCUAUGACACAGAGGAAGGGUAAAUAGAAUUUGGGUAGGGGAGUCUUGGCAGACUGCAUGGAAGAGUCUAG
rnacentral:lncRNA from 1 species